AACAAAACAUGGCCUUUUGAGCUUAAUUUAAGGUCGGGCCUGCCCACUGAUAAAAAUUAAAGGGCCGCGGUAUUUUGACCGUGCAAAGGUAGCAUAAUCAUUAGUCUUUUAAUUGAGGGCUAGAAUGAAUGGUUUGACGAAAUAUUAACUGUCUCUUUAUAAUAAGUAGAAUUUAACUUCUGAGUUAAAAGGCUUAGAUGUUUGUAAAAGACGAGAAGACCCUAUAGAUCUUUAUAUAUAAAUAUUCUUAUUUUGUUUAGAUGGGGUUUUAAUAGGAAUAUGAUUGUAUUUUGUUGGGGUGACAUGAAGAUAAAAUUAACUCUUUAUUAUAUAAACAUUGAUUUAUGAUUUAUUGAUCCGUUAUUAGCGAUUAUAAGAAAAAGUUACCUUAGGGAUAACAGCGUAAUUUUUUUUGAGAGUUCUUAUCGACAAGAAAGAUUGCGACCUCGA
rnacentral:rRNA from 1 species